UUCGUUUUUUAAGUUUUGAUUACAAAUUUAGUUUAAAAAAAGUUACACAAUUUAAAAAAACGGUGUCACUGGGGUAGGCCUAUAAGAAUUUCCAGACACCCUGCGGAUAGAAGCGCAGACUUUCACGAAAAUUACUUUUGUGAACAAGCAUUUAAUUGACUGGCGACCUGUCCAGGGUGUACCCCGCCUUUCGCCCAAUGUCAGCUGGGAUGGACUCCAGGCCCCCGCGACCCUGUACACAGGAUAAGCGGUUGACGAUGGAUGGAUGGAUGGAUGGAAGCAUUUAAUUGCAUAUUGUGAAUGCCUAAACAGCCAACACGCUACCCUGUUUAUUUAGCAAGUAAGAUAAGAUAAUGUUUAUUUAUUUCAUGCAGGGAAAUAAAGCCCAUGAAGUCACACAAUCUGCUUAGACAUCUUCAGAGCAACGCCGUUUAACAUAUGCUGUACACAUUUCACUUCCUGUUGAUAAAAACUCAUUUGACAUAGGCCUAUACUAAAUAGUACUAGCCUUAUUUGUAUAACAACGUGCUUUACUGCAAUCAAUGUAGGCCUGUUUUGUUGGCAAGACAUAAAUGUAUGAGAGCUAUUAAAGUUGGAAAUAAAUGCACAUGUUGAUCUUGUUCUCAACAUCCUUUGCUUUUCACUUU